AUGGCUGAGACUGACCCCAAGACCAUGCAGGAUCUCACCUUGGUGUUGCAGACAGUCCUGCAACAGACGCAAGAUAAAUUUCAAACCAUGUCUGACCAGAUCAUUGGAAGAAUUGAUGACAUGAACAGUUGCAUUGAUCACCUGGAGAAAAACAUUGCAGACCUCAUGACACAGGCUGGGGUGGAAGAGCUGGAGAGUGAAAACAAGAUUUCUGCCACACCAAAGAGCUGA